AAACUCUUUUUUUGUAACACAGUACUCCCUCAAUUGUGCGCAUGCGUGGUUGGAAGGUAUGAAACAAAGAUCAAUUGGGUUUCAUCUCACCUCCUUAGUAAAAAUUGAUAUUUCAAUUUGAGAGAAGGGCUAGCUAGAUCUCUACCAAUUUGGGUUUCUUCUCUACCAAUUUAGGUUUCUUCUCUACCAAUUUCCCCAAAACUGCUCAUCUUUGAACCAAAAUAUGUUCUCCGAUUUUUGACUAAUGGACGAUGGAUAGCUUCUGAUAAGGAUAGCCUCUGGACAUGAGGAAUCGACUAAGUUCGAUAUGGUCUUGGUUGAGAACGAAGGAACCCAAGAAAUUGACCCAUGAAUAAGAUCGAUAUAGAUGUACGGUGAGUUUUCUUCAUUUUGUUAAUGCACAUUCCUUUCAGAUUAAGUUUUCUAUAUCGAAAAUGCUUAAUUUUUGAGCACAUAAUUCGCUAAGGUACUUCACACUACUUUUUGAUAAUUUAGAGUUAUCUGGCAUGGUGCUAGCAUAUAAACUGUUUGGUGAAAUGCUUAAAUGAAAAGAUAUAUUGUUGAGUAGUUUGUAGCUCUUCAUCUUCUGAUUCAUCAUAGCUCUUUACUCUUGGAGCCUAAGCUUUAUCUAAUUUAGCAUGUGAUGGAGGGGAUUAAUUUUGGUGUUAUAUGGGGUUAUGGACCGUGUAAAAUACUAGGUACAGUCCCAUUACAUUCCCUAUUUUGCAUUUGAUUUUAUUUUACAUGAGUAAUUUAGGGUUAUUGGUUGUGUUGGUUUCAAAUUCAGUUCUUGGAGUAACUGUUCUUACCAUUGGGAAAGACUUGAUCCUUAUAGGUAAUUGGAACUAAGAAAGGGAAAACAUUUAGUGAUUGGAUUGAUGAAUUAAUUGGGUUUGAUUAUGUUCUUGUUUCGCGUAGUUUCUAUCCGUGAAGCCUUUCGCCUUGGCAUCAAUUUCUUCGAUACAUCCCCAUAAGUACAAUUACAUGUAUAUUUUCUUUCUGGGUUUUUAUAAUUUACCUAACUUUAUGGUUUUUAUAAAGUUGUUUUCAUGUUUUCUAAUUUGAGAGUUCUUGAUUUUUAAUAUUCGUGAUUUACAUUCAACCUUUCAGCUAUUAGUGAUUGAAUGCUUUGAAAGUGCCGAAAGAACUUACAUACGGGUGUAAUUUCCCCUAUUUUAAAACUUUUUGUACACGCUUAAGCACUAUUUUUUUCCUUUGUUAACAUAUAGUAAUUUUUAGGUUUUUGUUCUCUGCAUCUUUGAUAUUGGGCAGUGUUCUUUACACCAAUGAAAUUGUAAAAUGUAAAAAUAAUAGUAUAAAAUGUUGCUCCGUACAUGGGCUCUAUACAUAUGUUCUACACUUGUAUAACUGCAAUUUAUAUUGGCCACUACAUUCAUGAUUAAUUUGACUACAUUAAUAAUUUAUUUGUAGACGAGAAACAAUAUUGUUACGAGAUACAUAAUAAAUACGACUUUAUUUUUACAAGGACUUGCUGAGAACAAUUUUUCCUAAAGUAGUUUUUUCCUCUGCAUCAUGUUUCUCAUCAGAGUUGUCUGAUGUUCUGAGAGCACAUCGAAUAACAGAGUUAACCUGUUUCCUCAAUUUGGCAUUGUCAAUAAACAUGUCUGUAAGCAUCAGCCUCAACUCAUCGUCUGAUGUACUAGUCUUACCCCCACUAUUAUUAUGACCAGCAUCUGAAAUAUUGUUUUCAACAUCUUGUGAAAGGAGUUGCGCCUGAUCAAGGCCAUUAAACAUACAAAAACUAGAGUGAGUCGAGAGAAGAUAUGUCAGCAACGGUGAAAGGACUUCUUUUUUGGUACACUAUUGAGAAAGCAUUUAAAUUUCAUUUCUAAUUACGGAGGGAAAAGAUGAGGUUUGAGCCCCAACCAAAUAUGAUCAAGCGGGAGGCUCCCUUACCACUAGGCUAUCCACACACCUAAAUAUAAUUGCUGAAUAAUACCUCCUUCCCCCAACCCCCCACCCCCGUAAAAAAAAAAACGACAACAACAACACACCCCACACACAACAACAAAAAAACACCAAAAUGCGAAAAAAAGUCUUGUGAAGCAUAAGGAUACUAGAACAAAAGACAACUAUUCUCAAAAGCAUGAAGAAAGAUACCUCUUCAAGAACAACACCAAUUCCAUGGUGACCUUUGGGGUGUGUUUGGAACUUGAAGAACUCAAGGAAGAGCAAGAAAAAGGAAAAAUGAAUUGAAAGCUUAAAAUUUAUUGGAAUAUUAUUCAUUUAUAACACACUAUAUUUUAUCAUUGUUGUGGAUGUGAGAAGUAUGAUGGUUGGAUUUAUGUUAGUUAAGAUUCAGUUCAGUCUUCAGCCAUAGUCCGAACGAAAAGAACUCCCGAGUCUGUUCCUGAUGACGAUGAUUUGUUGUCUUCCAUCUUAGGUAUAUGAAACGGUUCUUUCAUUUUACAUUGUGGACAUGAAGCAUAAUUGUUCAGAAUUGAGAGAGUAAUUACCUUUGUUAUUUUCUAGAAGUUAUAUCAUCUAAAUUAUUUACUUGUUACAAGGUUUCCUUUCGCUUUAGAUGUUUCUAAUAUAACUUACUGUUGCUGCAGUUGGAAGAAAGUCUUCAGUUUUAAAAGUAAAGGAUACUCCGUAGCCUGACAUGUUUCUGAAAUGUCACAGGUCUGCUCCUUGGGCUAAUAAAAGGAAGGUGCUUAUGGAUGAUACUAUGGUUUUGCAUUGCGAGUAUGUUGUAUUUUCUGAUCUUGUUACUUUGUUUGUGUUAAUAGCUAUAUAUUUUACUAAACUUGGUUGCAGUUAUGGAUGGUGUUACAAUUUUUUUUUAGAAGACAAUGGCGGAAUAUAAGGAUUAAAGUGGUUGUUAUUGGACCAUCUUUAGGACCUGCAGAUCUUAAACUCACCAGGUGGUAGAAUUGUUUUGUUCAUUUUUUUGCCAUGAAAGACAUAAAUAUUUACAAAUAGGUAUAUAAGUCUUUUAAUCUUAUAAACUAUGGAAGAGGUAGGUACCUUACACAGAGGUCAAUAAUUUUCCUCCUUUAAGUAGUUAAUGUUAUUCGUCAAACAGGUAUGAUUGGAACACAUGCUAGGAAGAAAGUAAAUAAGUCAGUUACAUUGAUUCAAUAAUGUUCUCUCACGCUGCUUCUCUACUCUCUUUUUUCUGUCAUGAAAUUGAAUUUAUGUAGUUUAAAAAUGUCAGACCCCUCUUGUUUUUUAGGUUUUGUUUAACUUUACCAUAUUUUACUUGUUAUGCUAUCUGAAUGGAAUUUUUGAACCAACUGCAAGAGUCACUUGGUGGUGCACAUGCAGAUCCCUAUUGGACCUCACAACAGAUAAAGGCUGCAAUUAUUGAUUCAAUGGAUGUGAGGACAUUCACCUUGUUUCUUUUACAAGAAUAGUAUACUUCAUCUAAAGCCAAGAAUGUAUGCGCAACGAACAAGGAGACCUUUCAGCUAGAAAUCCAGAAGAAAUAUGAAGAGAUCUUGGGAUGGCCUGAUGUAAAGCAGAAAAUAGAGGCGCUGAAGGAUGAAAUCAGAAACUUUGGUGCGUCUGGAGUUCACGUGAAAAUAGUUCAUGCACAUAGUGGUCAUUGGCUCAUUACUUUGCACUUUAUUGUGAAAAUAGUUCAUGCACAUGUUCUUGUAUUUGAGGAUUAAUUAACUACAUUCUUUUGUUGGUAAGGCUGAGUUUGUUGCUCAGAUCUACUAGUGUUGUUGUAUAACACGAUGAUUUUAUUUAAAGGGUUGGAAUUUAUUGGUCA
rnacentral:lncRNA from 1 species